rnacentral:rRNA from 1 species
UACGUGGGAGGGCAAGCGUUGUCCGGAAUCAUUGGGCGUAAAGCGCGUGUAGGCGGCUUGGUAAGUCCGCUCUGAAAGCCCGGGGCUCAACCCCGGGAGGCGGGUGGAUACUGUCAAGCUCGAGUCCGGAAGAGGCGAGUGGAAUUCCUGGUGUAGCGGUGAAAUGCGCAGAUAUCAGGAGGAACACCAAUGGCGAAGGCAGCUCGCUGGGACGUGACUGACGCUGAGACGCGAAAGCGUGGGGAGCAAACAGG